GACGAACGCUGGCGGCGUGCUUAACACAUGCAAGUCGAACGGAAAGGCCCUGCUUGCAGGGUACUCGAGUGGCGAACGGGUGUGUAACACGUGGGUGAUCUGCCCUGCACUUCGGGAUAUGCUUGGGAAACUGGGUCUAAUACCGGAUAGGACCGCUCCUUAUUGUUUGUGGUGGAUAGUUUUUUGGGUGUGGUAUGGGAUCGCGGCCUUUCAGUUUGUUGGUGGGGGAAUGGCCUACCAACGCGGCGACGGGUAGCCGGCCUGGGGGGGUGUACGGCCACAUUGGGACUGGGGAUCGGCCCAAGCCCCCAAGGGGGGCAGCAGGGGGGAAUAUUGCAAAAUGGGGGCGAGCCUGAUGCAGCGACGCCGCGUGGGGGAAUAAGGCCUUCGGGUUGUAAACUCGUUUCGCUAGGGACGAAGCUUUUUGUGACGGUACCUAGUAAAGAAGCACCGGCUAACUACGUG
rnacentral:rRNA from 1 species